rnacentral:rRNA from 1 species
UUCCCCCCCCGACCUGCUACUCCGUAAUAGGGUAACACGGUGCUACAAUGAGUGGUGACACUGGGCAACGAGCACGCGAGUGUGAGCUAAUCUCCAAAAGCCCUCUCAGUUCGGAUUGCACUCUGCAACUCGAGUGCAUGAAGUUGGAAUCGCUAGUAAUCCCGGAUCAGCAUGCCGCGGUGAAUACGUUCCCGGGCCUUGUACCCACCGCCCGUCCCACCAUGGGAGUUGGUUUUACCCGAAGGUAGUGCGCUAACCGCAAGGAGGCAGCUAACCCCGGUAGGGUCAGCGACUGGGGUGAAGUCGUAACAAGGUAGCCGUAGGGGAACCUGCGGUUGGAUCCCCUCCUAACGGGGGG